rnacentral:tRNA from 1 species
GAGGGCAUAGCUCAGUGGUAGAGCAUAUGCUUAGUAUGCAUGAGGUCCUGAGUUCAAUCCCCAGUACCUCCA